rnacentral:rRNA from 1 species
CGCGCAGGCGGUUCGGUAAGUCGGUCUUAAAAGUGCGGGGCUUAACCCCGUGAUGGGAUUGAAACUGCCGGACUGGAGUGUCGGAGAGGAAAGCAGAAUUCCUAGUGUAGCGGUGAAAUGCGUAGAUAUUAGGAGGAAUACCAGUGGCGAAAGCGGCUUUCUGGACGACAACUGACGCUGAGGCGCGAAAGCCAGGGGAGCAAACG